UACGUAGGGGGCUAGCGUUGUCCGGAUUUAUUGGGCGUAAAGAGCGUGUAGGCGGCCAGGUAGGUCUGCUGUGAAAACUCGAGGCUCAACCUCGAGAUGUCGGCGGAAACCAUCUGGCUAGAGUCCGGAAGAGGAGAGUGGAAUUCCUGGUGUAGCGGUGAAAUACGCAGAUAUCAGGAAGAACACCCGUGGCGAAGGCGGCUCUCUGGGACGGUACUGGACG
rnacentral:rRNA from 1 species